AAAUAUUUAGUCAACAAAUAUUUAUUAAAAUGGUAAAAUGCCUCGUAUGUUCUGGGGACGCUUUCCUAUCUGGAACCAUAUGUGCUUUGUGUAACAAAAUAAUAGACAUCCAAUGCCAUGGAGGAACAAUUGGGGAUGGCUAUGUUGUGUGUAAAGUAUGUGCAGGUUGUUGCAAAGUUUCCCCAACAAAAAAAGACUAUAUAAUUGGUAGAGGUUUACAGUUACAGGCACAAUUUAUUUUAUUC